AUGAACGCUAGCGGCAGGCUUAACACAUGCAAGUCGAGGGGCAGCAUGAUCGAACUUUCGGGUUUGAUUGAUGGCGACCGGCGCAAGGGUGCGUAACGCGUGAGCAACUUGCCCUCAUCAGGGGAAUAACCGUUGGAAACGACGACUAAUACCCCAUAGCACAUAUUUAAGGCAUCUUUUAUAUGUUAAAGAAUUUCGGAUGAGGAUAGGCUCGCGUGACAUUAGCUAGAUGGCGGGGUAACGGCCCACCAUGGCGACGAUGUCUAGGGGUUCUGAGAGGAAGGUCCCCCACACUGGAACUGAGACACGGUCCAGACUCCUACGGGAGGCAGCAGUGAGGAAUAUUGGUCAAUGGUCUGACGACUGAACCAGCCAUGCCGCGUGAAGGUCACGGCCCUAUGGGUCUUAAACUUCUUUUGUAAGGGAGCAAUAAGUCUCACGUGUGGGAUGAUGAGAGUACCUUACGAAUAAGCAUCGGCUAACUCCGUG
rnacentral:rRNA from 1 species